UCUCAGGUGGCUCAGAGGUAAGGAAUCCACUUGACAAGCAGGAGACCCAGGUUUGAACCCUGGCUUGGGAA
rnacentral:tRNA from 1 species